rnacentral:rRNA from 2 species
ACAAGGUUUCCGUAGGUGAACCUGCGGAAGGAUCAUUAUUG